AUGGGCACGGCCAAGGGGCUGAGCUACCUCCACGAGGAGCACGAGCCCAACAUCGUGCACAGGGACAUCAAGGCAAGCAACGUCCUCCUCGGCAGAAACCACAGCCCCAAAAUCGGGGACUUCGGCUUGGCGAAGCUGUUCCCGGACAACGUCACCCAUGUCACCACGCGCGUGGUCGGGACGACUGGAGACCUGGCGCCUGAAUACGUGGUGCACGGGCAGCUGACCAAGAAGGCCGAUGUCUACAGCUUCGGCGUCCUCCUCCUCGAGGUCAUCAGCGGCCGGAGGGUCUCGGAGACGAUUCGAUCGGAUACAUUCCUCGCAUGGCUGCUCUACGAGCAGGGAAGGCCGCUGGACAUCGUGGACGCGAGUGUCAAGGACUACCCGGAGGCAGAGGUGCUCAGAUACGUCAAGGUAGGCCUGGCGUGCACGCAGGCGGCGCCCGACGGGAGGCCCGCGAUGCGGCAGGUGGUGAAGAUGCUGUCGCGGCCCGCCGCGUUCCGCGAGCUGGAGAUGCACUUGGCCGACCAUGAUUCCUCCGCUGCCCUCACACGUCCUGGCUUGAGCUUGUCGCCUCUUUCCUCCAUGGCAACAAGUAGUACGAAUUCCGCCUCGGCCACUUACAGUGAAACCGUACCCAGGUAG
rnacentral:rRNA from 1 species